rnacentral:rRNA from 1 species
UACGAAGGGUGCAAGCGUUACUCGGAAUUACUGGGCGUAAAGCGUGCGUAGGUGGUUGUUUAAGUCUGUCGUGAAAGCCCUGGGCUCAACCUGGGAAUUGCGAUGGAUACUGGGCGACUAGAAUGUGGUAGAGGGUGGCGGAAUUCCCGGUGUAGCAGUGAAAUGCGUAGAGAUCGGGAGGAACAUCCGUGGCGAAGGCGGCCACCUGGACCAACAUUGACACUGAGGCACGAAAGCGUGGGGAGCAAACAGGAUUAGAUACCCUGGUAGUCCACGCCCUAAACGAUGCGAACUGGAUGUUGGGCUCAACUUGGAGCUCAGUAUCGAAGCUAACGCGUUAAGUUCGCCGCCUGGGGAGUACGGUCGCAAGACUGAA